rnacentral:rRNA from 1 species
CGAACGUUAGCGGCGGGCCUAACACAUGCAAGUCGAGCGAGAAAGGGACUUCGGUCCUGAGUAAAGCGGCGGACGGGUGAGGAACACGUAGGUAAUCUGCCCUUCAGUGGAGGACAACGGUCCGAAAGGACCGCUAAUACUGCAUACGUUCCUUGGGACUCCGGUUCUGAGGAGGAAAGCCUCGCAAGGGGCGCUGAAGGAGGAGCCUGCGUCGCAUCAGCUAGUUGGUGGGGUAACGGCCCACCAAGGCGAAGACGCGUAGCUGGUCUGAGAGGAUGAUCAGCCACACUGGGACUGAGACACGGCCCAGACUCCUACGGGAGGCAGCAGUGGGGAAUAUUGGACAAUGGGGGCAACCCUGAUCCAGCCACGCCGCGUGAGUGAUGAAGGCCUUGGUCGUAAGACGUCUGUGGGAGGGACGAACGUCCCGUCGAAGAACGGGGGUAGGACGGUACCGUCCUUACGUCAAGCACCGGCUAACCGUUACGUUGCCGACGACGAGCC